GCAUCGAUGAAGAACGCAGCGAAAUGCGAUAAGUAAUGUGAAUUGCAGAAUUCAGUGAAUCAUCGAAUCUUUGAACGCACCUUGCGCUCCAUGGUAUUCCGUGGAGCAUGCCUGUUUGAGUGUCAUGAAUACUUCAACCCUCCUCUUUCUUAAUGAUUGAAGAGGUGUUUGGUUUCUGAGCGCUGCUGGCCUUUACGGUCUAGCUCGUUCGUAAUGCAUUAGCAUCCGCAAUCGAACUUCGGAUUGACUUGGCGUAAUAGACUAUUCGCUGAGGAAUUCUAGUCUUCGGAUUAGAGCCGGGUUGGGUUAAAGGAAGCUUCUAAUCAGAAUGUCUACAUUUUAAGAUUAGAUCUCAAAUCAGGUAGGACUACCCGCUGAACUUAAGCAUAUCAAUAAGCGGAGGA
rnacentral:rRNA from 1 species